UACGUAGGUGGCAAGCGUUGUCCGGAAUUAUUAGGCGUAAAGCGCGCGCAGGCGGCCUCUUAAGUCGGAUGUGAAAGCCCCCGGCUCAACCGGGGAGUGCCAUUGGAAACUGGUAGGCUUGAGUAUAGGAGAGAAGAGUGGAAUUCCACGUGUAGCGGUGAAAUGCGUAGAGAUGUGGUGGAACACCAGUGGCGAAGGCGACUCGUUGGCCUAUAACUGACGCUGAGGCGCGAGAGCGUGGGGAGCAAAAAGG
rnacentral:misc_RNA from 1 species